UGAGGAAUAUUGGUCAAAUGGACGCAAAGUCUGAACCUAGCCUAUGCCGCGUGCAGGAAGACGGUCCUAUGGAUUGUAAACUGCUUUUGUACGGGAAGAAACACUCCUACGUGUAGGAGCCUGACGGUACCGUAAGAAUAAGGAUCGGCUAACUCCGUG
rnacentral:rRNA from 1 species